CCCCUGCAAGGAAGGGCCCGGCUUUAAGGAGAAAGAACAGGAGUUGAUGUUCAUGUGAGAUAUGCGAGGAAGGGUCGUUUCCGUCUAACGAAUGUGGAUUCCCACCCGGGCUGCGAUCUUACUUCGGUAAUGCAUCAGUGAGUGGCAGCGGCAGGAGGAUUACAGGCUGAGGGAGAAGACGGCCGCCAUGUUGUGAGGAUACUCAAGCAGCCCUGUGCAGGAGACCACAUGGUGAAGAAUUGAGGCCUCCUGCCAACAGCCAACACCAGCUUGUCAGCCAGAUGACUGCACCAUCUUGGUAACAGAUCCUAGUCAAGCCCUAGUUAGCCCCCAGGCAACAGUUGAUGUGCAACCUGUGAGAGACCCUGAGCUAGAACCAUGAAGUUAUAGUUUACUCCCAAAUUCCUGACACAGAGGAACUAUGUGAGAUAGAUAAUAAAUGUUUACUGUUGUAUUAA